rnacentral:rRNA from 1 species
CCCGCACAAGCGGUGGAGCAUGUGGUUUAAUUCGACGCAACGCGAAGAACCUUACCAGGGCUUGACAUCCCCUGACCGCGUAUGAAAGUACGUUUUCACCCUCGGGUGACAGGGAGACAGGUGGUGCAUGGUUGUCGUCAGCUCGUGUCGUGAGAUGUUGGGUUAAGUCCCGCAACGAGCGCAACCCCUACGUUUAGUUGCUAACGCGUGAAGGCGAGCACUCUAGACGAACUGCCGUUGACAAAACGGAGGAAGGUGGGGAUGACGUCAAAUCAUCAUGCCCCUUAUGUUCUGGGCUACACACGUGCUACAAUGGCCGGUACAGACGGACGCAAAGCCGCGAGGUGGAGCAAAUCCUAAAAAGCCGGUCUCAGUUCGGGUUGCAGGCUGCAAUUCGCCUGCAUGAAGUCGGAAUCGCUAGUAAUCGCAGGUCAGCAUACUGCGGUGAAUACGUUCCCGGGCCUU